AAGUCGUAACAAGGUUUCCGUAGGUGAACCUGCGGAAGGAUCAUUAUCAAAUUAUCCAAAACCUAAUGGAUAUCGUUCUUUCACAAGGACGGUAUCCUAAAACCAAACGUGAACUGUUUUUGCCUCUGAUUGACAUUUUGAUGUAAAGAAUGGGUACCAAAUUUUUUUUUUGGUUCCUCUUCUUGUCAAUCAGAGUGUAUUUCUUUUACAUCAAACACUUUUAACCAAUUGAACCGUUUUAUUUAUUAUAUUGAAUUGUUUGAACUGAAUUUGUUUCUUACCCUCGUAACACAGGGAAGAAAACAUAAUUUACGAAACAAUAAACAAAUAUAACUCUUAGCAACGGAUAUCUUGGUUCUC
rnacentral:misc_RNA from 1 species